rnacentral:misc_RNA from 1 species
UCCGAUUUGUCACCGGCAGUCUCCUAUGGGUCCCCGUCUUUCACGCUGGCAACAUAGGACAGGGGUUGCGCUCGUUGCGGGACUUAACCCAACAUCUCACGACACGAGCUGACGACAACCAUGCCCCACCUGUAUACGAGUGUCCAAAGAGUUCCCUAUUUCUAGGGCGUUCUCGCAUAUGUCAAGCCCAGGUAAGGUUCUUCGCGUUGCGUCGAAUUGAACCACAUGCUCCGCUGCUUGUGCGGGCCCCCGUCAAUUCCUUUGAGCUUUAGCCUUGCGGCCGUACUCCCCAGGCGGGGCACUUAGUGCGUUAGCUACGGCACGGAAGGAGUCGACACCUCCCACACCUAGUGCCCAUCGUUUACGGCGUGGACUAC